GAUGAACGCUGGCGGCGUGCCUAAUACAUGCAAGUCGAGCGAACAGACGAGGAGCUUGCUCCUCUGACGUUAGCGGCGGACGGGUGAGUAACACGUGGAUAACCUACCUAUAAGACUGGGAUAACUUCGGGAAACCGGAGCUAAUACCGGAUAAUAUAUUGAACCGCAUGGUUCAAUAGUGAAAGACGGUUUUGCUGUCACUUAUAGAUGGAUCCGCGCCGCAUUAGCUAGUUGGUAAGGUAACGGCUUACCAAGGCAACGAUGCGUAGCCGACCUGAGAGGGUGAUAGGCCACACUGGAACUGAGACACGGUCCAGACUCCUACGGGAGGCAGCAGAAGGGAAUCUUCCGCAAUGGGCGAAAGCUUGACGGAGCAACGCCGCGUGAGUGAUGAAGGUCUUCGGAUCGUAAAACUCUGUUAUUAGGGAAGAACAAAUGUGUAAGUAACUAUGCACGUCUUGACGGUACCUAAUCAGAAAGCCACGGCUAACUACGUG
rnacentral:rRNA from 1 species